GUAAACACCUGAAUGAAAAAAGGAGAUUGAAGUUAAAAUAUUAUUUGCCGAUGUCGACAUAAAUAUUAGAUUCAUAAAAAAAAUCAUUAUUAGGUUGUUAAUCAGGAGUAUAAUAAAGAAUCCGUAUGAACUAUGCUGCCCUUAAGGCUGUCGAGAAUAUUCUUGGAAAAGGCAACAUGCAGUGUAGUGAUUGAUGACAAUUUUGUUUAGCCUCCUGCUACAUGUUAUUAGAGGACUAGUUCGUCGAUAGACCAAAGAAUAAACAAGGCGUAUUACCGUGACAGUAAGUCGAUGAAUUUAUGUUUCUUAAUUAGUUUUGUAAUUAAUAAAAUGACCCAUGUAGAGCAAAGAAAGUCUUUGUUUUUUUUUUUUUUUGGAUUUGAUGUAAGGUAAACAAAUAUAAGAAUUCAAUAUUUCAAAUGCUGUCCGUGUAUCGGGCCUAUGAGUUGACCGUUCAGAUUUUCAACCUCAUACA